AAAAGAGCACACUUGGUUAUAUUAACAUUAUUACUUCACUGGUAUUUAUUUUAUCAAUCUUGGAAGGAUGGAAAGUAAAAUUGAUGAAAGCAAAAAUUUAAAUUUAAAAACGAGUAAAUCCACAAUUAAAUGCUGUGAAGUAUUUUGUUCAACAUUGUACUGAUUCUGGCAAUCCACCCACUUCCUAUUCUUACAAGCAGGCUUGUUUGCAUCUU